rnacentral:misc_RNA from 1 species
AUACAAGAAUCACAUAUGUAAAUAUUGAUUUAAUAACAAGCAUUUCCCACGAGUAAGAAUCAAUGCUAAAAGUGUGUAUUUGGCCAUUAUAUUAGGGAGGCACAUGCUUUUCUAAAGCCAUAGUGAGGAGACAAUUUAUAGAUAAAGACUAAAGAAUCAAGUAAGACAAUAUGCAUAGCAUGGCACCAGUUCCCCCGGAAAGAGCAAGUGCUUUAAGAUUAUAACACUUAAGACCUUCACAUCUAAGAGAACUGGAUACUAGAAAAUUCUCCAUCACCUAAUCCACAUUUUUCCUUAACCCUACAUGUAUCAUAUUUAAAGUCAUAUUAAUUAGGAUCCUAAGAUAGGAGAGUUAUAUCAGGCAAACACACUACAUGAAACCUCAACUAAUUUUCACAAUAUAUUUGAGAGUUAUUACCAAGAUAAUGUUUUAGAAAUAAGUUUUGUCUGGCAACCAAUUUCCACCCAAAUAUUCUAUCCUUGUUCAUUUGGCUUUCUUUGGUGAAAUUCAUAGUAUCCAAGCCAAACAUAACUCAAAAUCCAGGAAGCAACAAAUAAGAUAUUUGAAAGGAAUGAUUAGAAAACGGCUCAAGUCAAUAACUAUACUAUUAUUACAGUACUGGAAAAAUCGAGACUACAACUACUGGAACAUGGAAUUCCAACUUUUUUAUGAACACCAUUUUUGCUUUUCCUUUAGAGAUGUAAAAGAAUAGCAACAAUGACUUUUCAACAUUCCUGAAUUCAAAAAGGAAUUGAAGUAUACAGGCGUCAGUGUCACUGUCACCGAAGUAAGCAAGUUUGAUUUAAUUGGCCAAAGGUUCAUCAUUACAAUUCUGAUAAUCAAAAGCAUAUAAAAUAUAGGAUCAAUGAUUAAGAAUCAACAGGAUGCCUAUGAAUAUAAAGUUUGAAAAGAUGUGAUAAAGACAAAAAGAAGGUAACACCAGGAAACCUUAUCAAGG